CGAGACACCUGUAGGACAAUAGGAUCCGUGAAUAAACCGUUUCUACGUUUCAUCGUGGAUAAAAGAAGAAGAAGAAGAGGCGGUGAUUAUUCUAUAGAAGAAAAUGGAUAAUUAUAUCGGGAUAUUAAAGCGCGGUUCCACGACCGUGCAAUUGUGGAUUGUGCAUCUAUCUGCGGUAUGUAAAAUGAGGAAGAGAGGCAGAGAAGAAGAAGAAUGGGUAACAAGAUAAUAUAUUCCCGAAGAGGGAAUCGGUGUAUACAACCUGGAUACAUCGCUUUUUAUUUAUCGUUCUUUAUUUUUAUUUUUAAUAAUAGCUUUUCCAUAAUUUAUCGUUUCAUAGAUCGUUGAGUAUAGUUCUCCGUUAAGAUAUUAAUUAUUCAUCAGCGAAACAGUAUAGUUAUAUAUCGUUCGGAAAGCAUAAUUUUGACUUGGACCCAUAAUUUUGUUUCGCGAUUAAAUCGUAAUUAAUUCGGGGAAGAUCGAUAGUUUCUGCACGAUAGUAUCAGCAACGAUCGCCAAAUUCCGUUUCUCACUUGCUGCGAAUCGCAACAGUUAUAUCGAAUAUAUACGAUGUAUCGCUAAUUGGUCAUUAAGAGGAGUACGAAACGACGCGAUUUUCAAACGUUGCUUGCUCGCAAUUAAACAUCGUUCUACUCGUCGAGCAUCGUGCCCCCGAUGUUUCCUCUUUGAUUCCAACAAAAACAUUACAAAGAUAUAUACAACAACGCAUAAAAUAAUCCAUCCACGGACGAAAUAAUAUUUUUCAAAAAUUUUCAUGACAAUUCCUCUUCUGACACGAUCUUAUUGCGAUCUUAUCGUUUAAUUGUACUCCAAAGCGGUCUAUUUGCAAUUUAGCUUUCAAGCAUCAUUAAACGAAUUAUAAAGA